GACGAACGCUGGCGGCGUGCUUAACACAUGCAAGUCGAACGGAAAGGCCCUGCUUUUGUGGGGUGCUCGAGUGGCGAACGGGUGAGUAACACGUGAGUAACCUGCCCUUGACUUUGGGAUAACUUCAGGAAACUGGGGCUAAUACCGGAUAGGAGCUCCUGCUGCAUGGUGGGGGUUGGAAAGUUUCGGCGGUUGGGGAUGGACUCGCGGCUUAUCAGCUUGUUGGUGGGGUAGUGGCUUACCAAGGCUUUGACGGGUAGCCGGCCUGAGAGGGUGACCGGCCACAUUGGGACUGGGGUACGGCCCAGACUCCUACGGGAGGAAGCAGUGGGAAAUAGUGCACAAGGGGCGGAAGCCUGAUGCAACAACGCCGCGUGGGGGAAGACGGCCUUCGGGUUGUAAACCGUUUUCGCCUGUGACGACGCGUGAGGGACGGGAAUGGGGAAAGAAGCACCGGCUAACUACGU
rnacentral:rRNA from 1 species